GACGGAGGGUGCAAGCGUUGUUCGGAAUCACUGGGCGUAAAGCGCGUGUAGGCGGUUCGAUAAGUCGGACGUGAAAGCCCGGGGCUUAACCCCGGAAGGGCAUCCGAAACUGUCGAGCUUGAGUACGGGAGAGGGAAGCGGAAGUCCUGGUGUAGAGGUGAAAGUCGUAGAUAGCAGGAGGAAAACCGGUGGCGAAGGCGGCUUCCUGGACCGAUACUUACGCGGAGACGCGAACGCGUUGUAAGCAAACAGGAUUAGAUCCCAGGGGAGUCC
rnacentral:rRNA from 1 species